CUUCGUAGGCUCCUCUGACUGCCACCUUUGGCGGCUGCUGCCUUAGGUCCAGGUGUUCUAACCAGUUGGUGCAGUUGGAGGGCCCAAAGAGAAGGAAACCGGCGAGGGAGGGGCUGCCAAAAGCGUGUGAAGACAAAUGGAAGGCCUGGCCAACUCUGAACCUCUGCUACUGCUACUAGGACUAAGCCAAGCUGAUUACAGGAGGAUGCAAAGCCAAGCUGAUUGCAGGAGGAUGUCCAAAGGUGGAAGCCCAACUGAGCAGACUUAGCCCCGGAAGUCAAAGAAGAGAAUCGUGUGCCUGGAGUCAGCAGAACCCGCCAAAGAAGGGUAGGUAUGCCAGAGAGGAAUAGUAGCCCUCCGCAGCUGCACAAGCCAACUAGUCAAGCGGCCUACAAAGGCAACCAUGACACCCAGUAGCUAGGAAAGGUGCAACCGUAAGCCCCGUGGCGGAAGGAGAAGGUAGCCCAGAAGUACUCUCAGCCCUGCCUAGCCAGAAAAGGCUCCUCCCUACAGCCUCGAAGGGAAAGUAGUCCAGUGACAAGCUCACUCUCUCGAUCAACAGAGGUUCUGGCGCCCACAGCCUCGAAGGGAAAGUAGCUUAGCCAAAGCCACUCUUAAAGGCGGCUCACCAGCUACAGUCAAAGAGCUCAGAACCGCCGAACAAAACGAAAAGCCAUCCCUGCUAGCCACCGCCGAAGGGUUCCCGCAUGCAGAAGAAGGCCUGCCAGCCCUGUGUAAACCAGAGACAGAGAGGAAUAGUAGCCCACUGCAGCUGCAGAAGCCAAGUAGGCAAACGUACUACCGAGGUGUCGGAAGCCCCCAGAGAGAAGGCCAAAGAGCUCAGAGCCGCCGAACAAAACGAAAAACCCCUCCUGUGCUAGCGUGUACCAAAAGGCUGCCAUCACCGCACAAACGCCCUAUCCGGUGGUCAGAGCUGCCGGAAGAGACGAAAAACCGUCCCUGCACUAGCCACAACCAAAAGACCCAAAGUUGGCAAAGGAAGGGGCUCGUUAGAACCGACCAACCUAACGCCGGGGUGGCAAAGGAAGGGACCCAUUAGAGCCGACCGAUCCAGCUGCUCUGAUCAACCUACCGUCAAGGCAAGCGACCCUUCACGCGGUAGCGUCGUACUAGCUGAACAUGUUCUCCUCUCGCCCUGAGGCAAA